UACGAAGGGGGCUAGCGUUGUUCGGAAUUACUGGGCGUAAAGCGCACGUAGGCGGCUUUGUAAGUUAGAGGUGAAAGCCUGGUGCUCAACACCAGAACUGCCUUUAAGACUGCAUCGCUUGAAUCAUGGAGAGGCGGGUGGAAUUCCGAGUGUAGAGGUGAAAUUCGUAGAUAUUCGGAAGAACACCGGUGGCGAAGGCGGUUCUCUGGGCCUGUACUGACGCUGAGGAGCGAAAGCGUGGGGAGCAAACAGG
rnacentral:rRNA from 1 species